rnacentral:misc_RNA from 1 species
AACCUAGCACACCUGCGGUGUGUACCUGCGGAGGGAUCAUUACCGAGUUAUACAACUCAUCAACCCUGUGAACAUACCUAUAACGUUGCCUCGGCGGGAACAGACGGCCCCGUAACACGGGCCGCCCCCGCCAGAGGACCCCCUAACUCUGUUUCUAUAAUGUUUCUUCUGAGUAAACAAGCAAAUAAAUUAAAACUUUUAACAACGGAUCU